rnacentral:rRNA from 1 species
UACGUAGGCAGCGAGCGUUGUUCGGAAUUACUGGGCGUAAAGAGUGUGUAGGCGGUGUUCCCAGUCUGUUGUGAAAUCUCCCGGCUUAACUGGGAGGGUGCAGCGGAAACUAGAAUGCUAGAGGGUGGGAGAGGUAAGCGGAAUUCCGUGGUGUAGCGGUGAAAUGCGUAGAUAUCAGGAGGAACACCUGUGGUGUAGACAGCUUACUGGACCACUUCUGACGCUGAGACACGAAAGCGUGGGGAGCGAACAGG